rnacentral:rRNA from 1 species
UACGUAGGGGGCGAGCGUUGUCCGGAUUUAUUGGGCGUAAAGAGCGUGUAGGCGGCUUGGUAGGUCUGCUGUGAAAACUCGAGGCUUAACCUCGAGCUGUCGGCGGAAACUAUUUGGCUAGAGUCCGGAAGAGGAGAAUGGAAUUCCCGGUGUAGAGGUGAAAUUCGUAGAUAUUCGCAAGAACACCAGUGGCGAAGGCGGCUCACUGGCCCGGUACUGACGCUGAGGUGCGAAAGCGUGGGGAGCAAACAGG